CCUACGGGAGGCAGCAGUGGGGAAUAUUGGACAAUGGGGGCAACCCUGAUCCAGCCAUGCCGCGUGUGUGAGGAAGGCCCUCGGGUUGUAAAGCACUUUCAGUGAGGAAGAACGCCUGGUGGUUAAUACCCAUCAGGAAAGACAUCACUCACAGAAGAAGCACCGGCUAACUCCGUGCCAGCAGCCGCGGUAAUACGGAGGGUGCGAGCGUUAAUCGGAAUUACUGGGCGUAAAGCGCGCGUAGGUGGCUUGAUAAGCCGGUUGUGAAAGCCCCGGGCUCAACCUGGGAACGGCAUCCGGAACUGUCAAGCUAGAGUGCAGGAGAGGAAGGUAGAAUUCCCGGUGUAGCGGUGAAAUGCGUAGAGAUCGGGAGGAAUACCAGUGGCGAAGGCGGCCUUCUGGACUGACACUGACACUGAGGUGCGAAAGCGUGGGUAGCAAACAGGAUUAGAUACCCCAGUAGUC
rnacentral:rRNA from 1 species